AAAGAAACUAACCAGGAUGCGCUUAGUAACGGCGAGCGAACCGCGCAAAGCCCAACUUGAAAAUCUCCCUUUGGAGAAUUGUAGUCUAUAGAAGCAUCCUCUGCAGCGGACGGAGCUCAAAUCUUCUGGAAAGGAGUGUCAGAGAGGGUGAGAACCCCGUCGGNUCUAGUCUUUGCUGCUUCACGAGGUGCUUUCCAAGAGUCGUGUUGCUUGGGAAUGCAGCACUAAUUGGGUGGUAAAUCCCAUCUAAGGCUAAAUACUGGCGAGAGACCGAUAGCGAACNAGUACCGUGAGGGAAAGAUGAAAAGAACUUUGAAAAGAGAGUUAAAAAGUGCUUGAAAUUGUUGAGGGGGAAGCGUUUGAAUGCUGUGGGUGCGCCUAGGCUUAUGGGUCUCUAACGAGCCUCUGUAUGUGCUAGGUGCUGGUCAGCAUGGGUUGGGCCCGCAGGAUAAAAGCCGGGGUUGAUACCCGGUCUAUACUGCAGGCCCGACCAAGGUGUGAAGAGCGCCCUUGUCCUUCGGGAACUGCGUUCUCAAGAUGCUGGCAGAAAGUAUUCAACCGACCCGUCUUGAAACACGGACCAAGGAGUCUAACAUGUAUGCGAGCUGGUGGGUGGAAAACCCAUGAAGCGCAAGUAACCUGACUGGUGGGAUGGCCUGUGCCUGCACCAUCGACCGACCAUGAGCUUCUGCGAAAGGUUUGAGUACGAGCAUACCUGUUGGGACCCGAAAGAUGGUGAACUAUGCCUGAGCAGGGCGAAGCCAGAGGAAACUCUGGUGGAGGCUCGUAGAUGUGCUGACGUGCAAAUCGCUU
rnacentral:rRNA from 1 species